GCGCGUGUAGCUCAGGGGAUAGAGCGAGGGCGUCCUAAGCCCUGCGUCGGGGGUUCGAAUCCCUCCACGCGCA
rnacentral:tRNA from 1 species